UACGAAGGGGGCUAGCGUUGUUCGGAAUACUGGGCGUAAAGCGCGCGCAGGCGGUUCUUCAAGUCAGUGGUGAAAGCCCGGAGCUCAACUCCGGAACUGCCAUUGAAACUGUUGGACUUGAGUACGAGAGAGGUGAGUGGAAUUCCCAGCGUAGAGGUGAAAUUCGUAGAUAUUGGGAAGAACACCGGUGGCGAAGGCGGCUCACUGGCUCGUAACUGACGCUCAGGCGCGACAGCGUGGGGAUCAAACAGG
rnacentral:rRNA from 1 species